rnacentral:lncRNA from 1 species
AUGUUGUUUCACGGCGAGCAAUCAAUAAAGAGAAGUGCCAUCUGUAAGAGCCAUGUCCUUCCUGAGUGUGUGUGUGCAGCUCGCAGGGGGCUGCCCGGCGUGUCGGCCUGGCACAGGUGGAGGGAUGCAGCCCUCGGUGCUGUGCUGGUUCUCGGUGAGAGUUGGGAUGAACGUGUCACCUCUUCAGUUCUGAGCUGUGGAAUGUCCUCCCAUCGCAAUUUAAAACUUUUUUUUUAUUAUCCCUUUCUAUUUUACGUAACGGUGAAGCGGCUCGAGACGCUGUUGUUGUGGUGUAGACCCGAGGGAAACGCCUCAACCCCGAGCCCAGUGUGCCGGUUCCGUGCUCUUGGUCCUCACCAGCCCCUCGUUCCGGGCUUCUGGUGUGAAGCAUUGCACUGCACAGGAGUAUUCUUUGCCAUGGGAGACUAAUGUCUGCACUUCCCUGCAGAAGGAAUUCAGGUAAAAGGAAUGACGUUUCUUUCUUCACCCUCCUCCAGAUCCUGCUCAGAUCCUCCCUGUAAUCUUGCCAUCUCUCUUUGCGACAUCGCAGCUCAGACCCACCCUGAAUGACGCACUGCCAUUUCUUAGCUCAUUACAUUGUGUGGCUACAGGUUCUGCUGCAAAACCAGCAUGGAAAGAAACAACACAGAAAAAUAACAAAGCUGGUCCGGCCACAAAGGUGGAUAUACAGCUACUGUGAGUCAUGCUUUAAUUUCACAAUAAAGCAACCUUAGAACUUUACGCUCUAAGAUGC